rnacentral:rRNA from 1 species
AGUCAAUAGAUACCCGGGUAGUCCACGCCGUAAACGAUGUCGACUUGGAGGUUGUGCCCUUGAGGCGUGGCUUCCGGAGCUAAACGCGUUAAGUCGACCGCCUGGGGAGUACGGCCGCAAGGUUAAAACUCAAAUGAAUUGACGGGGCCCGGCACAAGCGGUGGAGCAUGUGGUUUAAUUACGAUGCAACGCGAAGAACCUUACCUUACUCUUGACAUCCACGAGAACUUAAGCAGAGAUGCUUUGGUUGCCUUCGGGUAACGUCUGAGACAGGUGCUGCAUGGCUGUCGUCAGCUCGUGUUGUG